UACGUAGGGUGCAAGCGUUAAUCGGAAUUACUGGGCGUAAAGCGUGCGCAGGCGGUUAUAUAAGACAGAUGUGAAAUCCCCGGGCUCAACCUGGGACCUGCAUUUGUGACUGUAUAGCUAGAGUACGGUAGAGGGGGAUGGAAUUCCGCGUGUAGCAGUGAAAUGCGUAGAUAUGCGGAGGAACACCGAUGGCGAGGGCAAUCCCCUGGGCCUGCACUGACGCUCAUGCACGAAAGCGUGGGGAGCAAACAGG
rnacentral:rRNA from 1 species